rnacentral:lncRNA from 1 species
CCGGUCACAUGCUUUCUUUGUGAUGACGGCCCUGGGCUCCUCAGUUCUGCACCUACUACUUUGCUUCUUCCCAUUCCGAGGUGGUGUAUUUGCCUCAGUUGCUGCUCCUCCUAUCCCACCAUUCCCUUUCUUACUCUCUCUCAGGUUUAAUUCUUGUCUUGUCCUUUCUCACCAUUCUAAGAUAGCCCUGUGACGCUUCCCUUGAUGAGCCCUAAUGAGACUCUGUAGCACCAAUCUCUCCUUUCCUGUAGUCACACGAGCUGGAAUCCAGAUUCCACUUUGUCAUUUGGAGACUCAGAGUAUUGCCACACACACCCCUCAGCGCCACCCCCCCCCCCAUAACUCCCUGCAGCCCCCACUUUCUCCACGGCACCUACUCCCCCUUGCAGCUUGUGCCGGGAAGCCCUGUUUCCUAGCUGCAGCCUAUUAUGUUCCAGUCGACAGGCCGGGGGGGGGGGGUGUCACCGACAGCCCCCAGAGCCUGCUGCACAUGGUGUUAAGUAAGGCUUUGGGUUUUCCAUGACAUUGGUCGGUCCCCAGGGUGGGCAGGGUUCAUGUGUCUGCAGGAGUAUGUGAGGGCAUAGACUGGAAAUAGCCUUGUCAAAAUAGACCAAGGGCAAAUGCUGAGAGGGGAAAUGAGGCUGACCUGGGGCGGAGCAUAGGGCAGGUGCUUCUCCAGGGGCUUUCCUCUGUGAGGGGCCCUGUAGCUAAAGGCUGCCUGAAAUACUUCCUGUGACCCUCUAGACCUACAUGAGGCCCCCAUCAGACACAAGAGCUUCCUGUUCCCUCUUCACUUUCCAAUACUUACAGAGCAAGAAGGGUUUACUCAGUUCUUCUUUCUUUCUCUUGUCCCCUCAGCUCCUGUCUUAGUGCAUUUGGC